GCGCCGGUAGUUUAAGGGUAGAAUUUAGCCUUCCCAAGGCUGAGGUCCGAGUUCGAUUCUCGGCCGGCGCA